GGAUGGUUGGGCCGCCGCGACCGCCGCCACGAGCCGACGAGACGGACUCUGACGAUGAUAUGGAUGAUGAGCCGGAUGACACGUUUCAGAUCCCGCUGACCAACGAGAUCGUGCUCAAGGGGCACACCAAGGUUGUCACGGCCCUUGCUGUGGACCACUCAGGAUCUAGAGUUCUUACGGGUAGUUACGACUACACUGUGCGUAUGUAUGACUUUCAGGGGAUGACUUCUAAGUUGCAGUCUUUCAGACAACUGGAGCCAUCCGAGGGGCACCAAGUUCGCAGUUUAAGCUGGAGCCCGACAUCGGACCGAUUUUUAUGUGUAACGGGUUCAGC
rnacentral:misc_RNA from 1 species